UCCCUGGACAUCGCAUAGCCAACAGAUUAAUUAGACAACUGAUCGUGGUGCUCUCUCUUACUGCUGGCCCACUGAGUUUUCUUUUUCUUUUUCACUUCUUGUAAGCCUCUAAUUUCUGUCUUUACAUUAAUGGAGCUUACUUGGUGUGCCGACCCAGGGGAGGCAAAAAUUAAGUCUCCUUUUUGCCUCCGGGGGGCUGCGGCUUAUUCUGCAGCUAGUUUGCUUCAUCCGUUUGGUGAGGGAAAACAUUACACCAGGCAGCAGACUUUACAGAUCCUGAAAUUAAAUAAAUAAAUAAAAAAGCUUACAUUUCAUUAGCGCUUUUGCAUUGUAUCGCACAAUCUUACAGAGAAGGUUGCAAUCUAUAAAUAAAAGCAAAGGGCGUUUUGCGAGAGCAGCCACUGUUUCAUGUUCUUCUAUUCAACGUCUGUCAACCCUCUCUGGACAAGGGUCCACGUUGGUUGCCUUGGAAACGAGCACAGGACUAUUCUGAGCGCCCGGCAGUAAGGGAGAGAGGAAGCGAGUGUAGUAAAGCUUUUUCAAGAUGGUCCCUGCAUGCCUCCAGUUCAGUUGCAACUGGUGCGAACCGCAAGACAUGAAGCCAGAUGUGGACGCCGAAGUGGACGUGAUGCGUCGCAGAAUGAAGAUGGAGCAUCUGCUACCCAGAAAGAUGGCACCAGCAGAACCUGGUGCCAGGUGGUGCACAAGCCUGCCCUGGAUGGCGACAACUUCCAUUGAAUCCCGAAGCCCAGGGAUUAUCCCAGAUGUGCUCAUGUCACUGAUUCAUGCAGCGGUUUCCAUGUCAUCUCACUCCAUCCUGGAAGAGGGCUUCAGGGCUGAGAGGGAGGAGUUCAUGGUUACACUAAGACAGAUAAACUUCCUCCACCUUCAGUGUUUGCGGCAUACUUCAGGCAUGUGGCUUUGUUCACUGAAAGAGUACACGUUUUUGAACCCUUCUACAACUGCAGGAUAAGGGAAAGUUUCCAAACAAAAGACACUGUGAUCAUCUCUAGGUUCAGGGAUUUUUACCUGGGAGAGGAAAAGCUCUUUUGCUGGAUGUCUUUGUUUCCCACUGACUGUGGGCCAAGAGUGUUCCUGUGAUUUCUUUGACAUGUGCAGUCAGUCUACUGUAAAUGCCCUGAGACUGAAUUAACCUUCCUGUACCUUCAACAAUAAAAGUAUAUCUAUC